AUGUACAUUCUUACAACAUAGAAUUAAUGCAUUGGGUCCCAUUAGAACUCUGUAGUUAAGCAUGCUCGGGCUAUAGUAGUACUGGCAUGGGUGAUCACCUAGGAAGUCCUAUUGUUUUACAUG
rnacentral:rRNA from 1 species